UGACUCCCCAUUGCCCCCUGCCCAGCCCCAAGGCUCCUCAGCCACUUGCCCUGUUCGCCGUCUCUCCAGCUUGUUCUCCUGGCCUGCAAUCGAGGGAGCAGACAAGCUGCAAAGAGCUCCUUUUCUCCCGCCUCUCAGCUGAUCGGCGGGUGGGCGGGGCUUCCACGGAGGUCUGGUGUAGGCCUCUGUGAAGCCUGAACUCCAGUAGGGCCCAAGCCAGCCAGGAAGGAGGAGGCAGCCAGAGAGGCCUCCACUGUUCUCUGCAGCAGAAGACCCCCUGCUGCCAGGUCUUAUUUUUGCAAGAGGCAUCAGAGUUCCUGCUUAGAGGAACUUCACAUACUAUUAAUGGAAUGUAAAGGAAAUUGGACAGAUUUGCUUAAUUUACAUCUCGGCUUCUCAAAUACGGGGACAGUAAGUAUUUUAAGGCUAUUAUGGAAGAGUCUCCCCAGAGACAUAUGUCUAGCCUUGCACAACAUGUGUGUAGGAGAGCCAUGAAGAUUAUUUCCUUCCAUCAAGCCUUUUAGAAAUUAUUGAUAUUACUACUAUUGUUUACAUACUGCUUCACAACAGAAAAGUUCUCAAAGCAGAUUCCAUAGAUAAAAUAAUAAUAACAACUAGCUGACCCGGCACAGAGCAUCUGUGCCCCUAAUUCUCCCUGUCUCUCCCCUAUCUUCAUUUCAUCGUCCCCCCGUCCCUUCAGCUCCAUUUUGUUCUAUCCCCCACCCUUCAGUCCCAAUUUGUUCUCCCCUGAUGGCCAACCUGGCCACCGCUUCCUCGGUGGCUGGCUGCCACUUCUUCUCCGUAGCCGGCCGCCACUGCUUCUCCCCACCUGCUCAGCUGUUCUCCUGGCCAGCAGUUUCUUUCCACCCAUCCCUGUCACUAUCCGGCAGCUGCUUGCGAACUCUUGCGAGAGCUGCCAUGUGUGGAAUUAGUAACGGGUACGCCUAAUAUAAAUAUAAACAUAAAUUUGUUUAUUUAUUAAUUAUUAAUACAGUCAUCCCUCGCCCACUGCGGUUUUGAGUAUAUGCAAAUGGGAAAUUGUGACAGGUCUUGCCAGCCACGAUCCGAGUAUCUGCAGCUGGUAAGGUUUUUUUUAGUGUUCGGGAGCAGGGUUAGCAAUUUGGGGAGAGGUUGGAAGUUCAAUCUGCUCAUUCCUCUUGGUGCCCCUUGCCGACUCCUAGUGAUUUAAAGAGAAUUUCAGUGGGUUUGGGCGGUUCAGAACAUUUCCAGAGGUUCAAUCUGCUCAUUCCUCUUGCUGACUCUUGGCGAUUUUAAGGGAUUUGGGGUGAUUUUAAGCUAAUUUUUUUAGCACUUCCCCCUUUAUUUUUAGGGGUUUUUGCAAUCAUGGUCCACCUGUUUCUCAAUCAUUCCUAUUGCUCACCAACCGUGAAUUUGCGAUAACCACUUCUGUUUUGCGAGAACAUAACCCUUGUGGUUGGCGAGGUAUGACUAUAUUAUUAUUGAUGAUGAUAAUAAUAUGUUCCCCUGACCCCAAAGAGGCUCAUUUGGUGACUUCACCCAACUUUUGGAAAAUAAGUUGACAGGAACCACUGACUCCCAGUGAGCUCAAGCUCCCUAUACGAGCAGUU